GACGAACGCUGGCGGCGUGCUUAACACAUGCAAGUCGAACGGGCCCGCCCCUGUUUUUGGGGGUGGGUUGAGUGGCGAACGGGUGAGUAUCACGUGAGUAACCUGCCCCCUGCUCCUGGAUAACUGCUUGAAAGGGCGGCUAAUACGGGGUGUGCCGGCUGGUCCGCAUGGGCCUGGUCGGGAUAGUUUCAUCUUCGGGUGUUUCGGUGGGGGAUGGGCUCGCGGCCUAUCAGCUUGUUGGUGGGGUGAUGGCCCACCAAGGCGGUGACGGGUAGCCGGCCUGAGAGGGUGGGCGGCCACACUGGGACUGAGACACGGCCCAGACGCCUGCGGGAGGCAGCAGUGGGGGGUAUUGCACAAUGGGCGGAAGCCUGAGGCAGCGACGUCGCGUGAGGGAUGGAGGCCGUCGGGUUGUGAACCUCUUUCUCCGGUGGUGAAGGCCCUGUCCGUUGCGGCGGGGUUGACGGUAGCCGGGGAUGAAGCGCCGGCUAACUACGUG
rnacentral:rRNA from 1 species